rnacentral:rRNA from 1 species
GUGAGGAAUUUUCCGCAAUGGGCGAAAGCCUGACGGAGCAAUGCCGCGUGAAGGAUGAAGGCCUAUGGGUUGUAAACUUCUUUUCUCAGAAAAGAAUUAUGACGGUAUCUGAGGAAUAAGCAUCGGCUAACUCUGUGCCAGCAGCCGCGGUAAGACAGAGGAUGCAAGCGUUAUCCGGAAUGAUUGGGCGUAAAGCGACUGUAGGUUGUUUAAAAAGUAUUCUGUCAAAGAUUAGGGCUUAACCCUAGAUAGGCAGAAUAAACUUUUAAGCUAGAGUUUGGUAGAGGCAGAGGGAAUUCCCGGUGGAGCGGUGAAAUGCGUAGAUAUCGGGAGGAACACCAAAGGCGAAGGCACUCUGCUGGGCCAAUACUAACACUGAGAGACGAAAGCGAGGGGAGCAAAUGGGAUUAGAUACCCGAGUAGUCC